GGAGGAAACUCUGAUGCAGCAACGCCGCGUGGAGGAUGACGCAUUUCGGUGUGUAACGUCCUUUUAUGUGGGAAGAUCAUGACGGUACCUCAUGAAUAAGCACCGGCUAACUCCGUGCCAGCAGCCGCGGUAAUACGAGAGGACGCAAGCGUUACUCGGAAUCACUGGGCGUAAAGCGCGCGCAGGCGGCCUUUUAAGUUGGAUGUGAAAGCCUACGGCUCAACCGUAGAACUGCAUCCGAGACUGUGUGGCUAGAGUGUGGGAGAGGAAGAUGGAAUUAGUUGU
rnacentral:rRNA from 1 species